CUUUAGAAAGGAGAGAAGAAAAACAACCAGUUGGUCAAAUACUUGCAAAGCCCAAGGAAGAUUUCUAUAAGAACUAGGCUUCUUGCAAAUCUUGACUUGUACCAGAAAGCAAAGUACCUGCCAUGCAGCAAAUACAUGAAUGAAUUUAUACCAUUUUCAUUACUUAGGGAACAACAUAAUCAAGCAUGAAUAUGGGGGAAACAAUUCCAUGACCCGAAAAUAUGUGAUGAGACUGAGCUGAACUGUCUGAAGAUAAAAUCUCUGCAGAGAGUGAGUAAAACUUGGUUCAAGAGUCCUCAGAAAAAGUCUGACACAACUCUAAUACCGGACCUUGGUGAUGACUAUAUGGAAAUCCUACUCAAAGAGAGUUCUGAAACAGAAAGACAGCAAUAGACCACCCCAAAGACACCCAGGACAUUAUGAAGAGAUUUCAUGGUGUACACUGUGUUUGGCUUAUGGGAACUUGAACUGUGCAGUCCUUCUGAAACAGACUAUUCAGUCUGGAGAGCAUGGCUGGCUUCUCUAAGUCUACUCUAUUGGGGAUUUUAAUUUACCCUCGUGAAGAACAGCAAUGACCAAAUAUUAUGCAAGAAAAAAAUC